AAAUACGGUGAGAUCAAUAUCAGACUAGUCUGUCGUGCGAUGCACGAUGGCUAACCUAUAACGAACAUGGUUCUUGCCUUUUACCAGAACCAUCCGGGUAUUGUCUUUUCCAGGUGCGAGUUUUGCAGUGCUGUGUAUUUUUUGGAAACUUUGCCUAUGUUUUU